rnacentral:rRNA from 1 species
AUACGGAGGGUGCAAGCGUUACUCGGAAUCACUGGGCGUAAAGCGCGCGCAGGCGGCUAUUUAAGUUGGGUGUGAAAGCCUACGGCUCAACCGUAGAACUGCAUCCAAAACUAUUUAGCUAGAGUGUGGGAGAGGAAGAUGGAAUUAGUUGUGUAGGGGUAAAAUCCGUAGAGAUAACUAGGAAUACCAAAAGCGAAGGCAAUCUUCUGGAACACUACUGACGCUGAGGCGCGAAAGCGUGGGGAGCAAACAGGAUUAGAAACCCUAGUAGUCC